rnacentral:lncRNA from 1 species
AUGUUUUAAUUCUAAAACAAAAUCGAUUAAAGUAAACACAUAGAUAUCUCAACAACAUCAAUUUUUUCAAUAAUAAUUUUAAUCCAAUUUAGAACUCACAGAAAAUUAAGGAAAAAGAUUGGCAAAUUUACCUACUCAUUCUUGAAUCUGCAAGAUUCAUCAUGGAAGUAGUGAGUUGUAGAGGAUCGAACCAACUCCAAAUUGCAUGAUUGUUACACCUUUGGGCAGAAACUAAUCAUGCAAAGAAAAUAUCUGUAUAGCUAGCCAAAACAUAAAAUACACAAAAUACAUAUAGCUUCAACAGCUUUGGCCAGAUGAAAAUAUGUUAGAAGUACUUUAUGAUUUGCUAUAAUACUAAUUUAUAUUUGGUGAGUGAUUUCCUGAAAUUCCCAUUGGGACAAAGUAUUCACCAUAUAAAUUAGAAUUCUGAUUUUUCAAAAUAAUCCUUUAGAACAGUAUUAAAUAACCGUUUUGUUGGAUAUUCAAUGAUUCUCAAAAGAUUCAAUCAGACACAAAAGUAUGUCGUUGUUGACAUUGAACAAUAGAGUUCUCGAAAGAGGAAACAUGGUUAUUCAGUUGUUCGAUAGGGAUCAAAAUGAUCAAUUAGUAAACUGAUGCCACUUUCCAAUUUUCUCUCAAAAGACAAUUAUCAUCAUAAUCAGAAUUGAUGACCAAACAAAACAUUGGUUUAAGCAAAACAAACCAAUACAUCUUUAAAUCAAAAUUUAAUCAGUGCUGUCUAUAAAAUUCAUUAGUGUUGAUAAUUUGCAUAAAAUAAGGACAUAUUGGAACCAUAAACUUGUAUAAUAACCGGUACCAAUAGAUGUGCACAAAUCAAUGAAACAAUAUCACAUAACAAAACUAGUUUUGCAGUACCAAAAAAUUCAGCAGUACUAUUUUAGUUUGAAAAUUCACCAAACACUCAAUUCUCUUUAGAUUGUCAUGAAAAUUUUUAGGUAUGCACUAGACAUAUAUGGCUACUAUUUCUCAAAAUUUCAUGAUUUUUUAAAAUUUUUAAGCAAGCCAAAAUGAAUUCGAAAAGAAAAGUGCUUUAGAAACUGCAGAAAAUGUUCAUUACAGACUUGAGAUUACAAAUUCACCAAAUAUUCAUAGUUUAUCCGAUAUGCAAGAAAUUUUUCAGACAUAAAUCAAACAUAUAAAGCUGGUAAUUCCCAUAAUUCCAUAAUUUUUGAGACUUUACAAGUGUACUAAAAGAAAAUUAU